rnacentral:rRNA from 1 species
AUACGGAGGGUGCAAGCGUUAUCGGGAAUCAUUGGGUUUAAAGGGUCCGUAGGCGGACUAAUAAGUCAGGGGUGAAAUCCCACAGCUUAACUGUGGAACUGCCUUUGAUACUGUUAGUCUUGAGUUAUAUGGAAGUAGAUAGAAUGUGUAGUGUAGCGGUGAAAUGCUUAGAGAUUACACAGAAUACCGAUUGCGAAGGCAGUCUACUACAUAUAUACUGACGCUGAGGGACGAAAGCGUGGGGAGCGAACAGGAUUAGAAACCCCAGUAGUCC